GCGGAGGAAAAGAAAAUAACAAUGAUUUCCCUAGUAACGGCGAGUGAAGAGGAAAGAGCUCAAAGUUGGAACCUGUUUGGCUUAGCUAAACCGGAUUGUAAACUGUAGAAACAUUUUCCAGAUACACUAGACAAAAAAGUCCUUUGGAACAGGGCAUCAUAGAGGGUGAGAAUCCCGUCUUUGGUCUAAGUAGUUGUCUAUUGUGAUAUGUUUUCAAAGAGUCAGGUUGUUUGGGAAUGCAGCCUAAAUUGGGUGGUAAAUCUCACCUAAAGCUAAAUAUUUGCGAGAGACCGAUAGCGAACAAGUACCGUGAGGGAAAGAUGAAAAGAACUUUGAAAAGAGAGUUAAACAGUAUGUGAAAUUGUUAAAAGGGAACCGUUUGGAGCCAGAUUGGCUUGAUUGUAAUCAACCUAGAAUUCGUUUUGGGUGCACUUGCAGUCUAUGCCUGCCAACGACAGUUUGAUUUGGAGGAAAAAAUUAAUAGGAAUGUGGCCUUUCGAGGUGUUAUAGCCUAUUAUCAUACUCUGGAUUGGACUGAGGAACGCAGUGAAUGCCUUUAGGCAAGAUUGCUGGGCGCUUUCGCUAAUAAAUGUUAGAAUUUCUGCUUCGGGUGGUGCUAAUGUUUAAAGGAGGAACUCGUUUAGUAUAUUUUUUAUUCGCUUAGGUUGUUGGCUUAAUGACUCUAAAUGAC
rnacentral:rRNA from 1 species